rnacentral:rRNA from 1 species
AGCGAACGCUGGCGGCAGGCUUAACACAUGCAAGUCGAGCGCCCCGCAAGGGGAGCGGCAGACGGGAGAGUAACACGUGGGAACAUAUCUUUUGGUUCGGAACAACUGAGGGAAACUUCAGCUAAUACCGGAUAAGCCCUUACGGGGAAAGAUUUAUCGCCGAAAGAUUGGCCCGCGUCUGAUUAGCUAGUUGGUGAGGUAACGGCUCACCAAGGCGACGAUCAGUAGCUGGUCUGAGAGGAUGAUCAGCCUCACUGGGACUGAGACACGGCCCAGACUCCUACGGGAGGCAGCAGUGGGGAAUAUUGGACAAUGGGGGCAACCCUGAUCCAGCCAUGCCGCGUGAGUGAUGAAGGCCUUAGGGUUGUAAAGCUCUUUUGCCCGGGAAGAUAAUGACGGUACCGGGAGAAUAAGCCCCGGCUAACUUCGUG